UACGAAGGGGGCUAGCGUUGCUCGGAAUUACUGGGCGUAAAGCGCGCGCAGGCGGCUAUCCAAGUCAGUGGUGAAAGCCCGGAACUCAACUCCGGAACUGCCAUUGAAACUGUAUAGCUUGAGGACGGGAGAGGUGAGUGGAAUUCCCAGUGUAGAGGUGAAAUUCGUAGAUAUUGGGAAGAACACCAGUGGCGAAGGCGGCUCACUGGCUCGAAUCUGACGCUCAGGCGCGACAGCGUGGGGAUCAAACAGG
rnacentral:rRNA from 1 species